CGGUAAUACGGAGGGUGCGAGCGUUAAUCGGAAUUACUGGGCGUAAAGCGCAUGCAGGUGGUUUGUUAAGUCAGAUGUGAAAGACCCGGGGCUCAACCUCGGAAUAGCAUUUGAAACUGGCAGACUAGAGUACUGUAGAGGGGGGUAGGAAUUUCAGGUGUAGCGGUGAAAAUGCGUAGAGAUCUGAAGGAAGUACCGGUGGCGAAGGCGGCCCCCUCGGACAGAUACUGACACUCAGAUGCGAAAGCGUGGGGAGCAAACAGGAUUAGAUACCCCUGGUAG
rnacentral:rRNA from 1 species